rnacentral:rRNA from 1 species
UACGAAGGGUGCAAGCGUUACUCGGAAUUACUGGGCGUAAAGCGUGCGUAGGUGGUUUGUUAAGUCUGAUGUGAAAGCCCUGGGCUCAACCUGGGAAUUGCAUUGGAUACUGGCAGGCUAGAGUGCGGUAGAGGGUAGUGGAAUUCCCGGUGUAGCAGUGAAAUGCGUAGAGAUCGGGAGGAACACCAGUGGCGAAGGCGGCUACCUGGACCAGCACUGACACUGAGGCACGAAAGCGUGGGGAGCAAACAGG